GACGAACGCUGGCGGCGUGCCUAAUACAUGCAAGUCGAACGCAGUGGGGACGGGUGAGUAACACGUGGGUAACAUCCCAUCAGAGGGGAUAACACUUGGAAACAGGUGCUAAACCGAUACGGAUGGAUGGACCCGCGGUGCAUUAGCUAUUUGGUGAGGUAACGGCUCACCAAGGCCACGAUGCAUAGCCGACCUGAGAGGGUGUUCGGCCACACUGGGACUGAGACACGGCCCAGACUCCUACGGGAGUCAGCAGUUGGGAAUAUUGCACAAUGGGCUCAAGCCUGAUGCAGCCAUGCCGCGUGUAUGAAGAAGGCCUUCGGGUUGUAAAGUACUUUCAGCGGGGAGGCGUUACCCGCAGAAGAAGCACCGGCUAACUCCGUGCCAGCAGCCGCGGUAAUAC
rnacentral:rRNA from 1 species